UUUGACCUAAAAAUCCAAGUGGAGAACAUGGAUUUUUAAUAACUAUAAUUUGUGGCCAAGGGUUUUCUGCCUACAAGACAUAUUGAAAGAAAUAUCCUAUUUUCUCAGUUAUUCUAGCUUUAUCUUAAAGACUUUGCUAGAUUGGCAGAAUUCCUGGGUAGUUUCAGCAUUCCAGUGAUUGUAAUGUUUUAAGAGAUGGUUAUAAGCCAGAAACUAAACAUCUGUUAGGCUAAAAAUAAAAGCAUUUCUUUUGUUAAUUUAUCCAAGACUUUUUAAAAUGCUACUAUCAGCAUGGCUUAUCAAGACCCCUAUAAAUAUAGAUAGCCCAAUAUUUAUUGUAUUAACCACAUGUUCCAAGUCUAAUCAAAGCAAUUUUAAUUUACCAUUCUCUAUGAAGUGUUUCUGUUUGAACAUACUAGGAUCAUUAUUUUAUUUAUAGGUUAGGUAGCAACUGAGAAAAAGUAAAGUUAUAUACUGUAUAUGUAUAUACAUAAUGUGCAAACUUUCAAAUAAUUGAUAUGCAUGUAUGUAAGUGAAUCACAGCAAAACAAUAAUUUCAAAACUAAUUAGAAGGUUGGCUUAAAAGCUCUCCCUCUGCAUUUCCAGGACCGCCUAUGAAUUCUGCUAUGUUACUGAACAUGCUGUACUGUCCGUGCCAUUCUUCAUAACCAGAGUAUGAUCUUUGUAAGAGUAAAUUUUAUCAACAAAAAGAGGAUUCCCUGGUGGCUCAGUGGUAAAGAAUCUGCCUACAGUACAGAAGACACAGGAGACGUGGGUUCAAUCCUUGAGUCAGGAAGAUCCCUGAAAGGAGAGCAUGGCAACGCACUCCGAUAUUCUUACCUGGCAAGUCUCAUGGAAAGAGGAGCCUGGCAGGCUGCAGUUAAAGAAUCGGGUACGAUCGAAGUGACUAAGAACAGCACAGCAGCACACCAACAAAAAGAAGUGGCCUAUGUGGUGGGAAAAGAGCAACUUACAUAAUGCAGAAGAUUUCUUGUGGAGUUGGAAUGUACUGCGUAUCAAUAACUCUCAUUUAUAUAGUAGCUAUAUUUUUUUAAAUCAUUUGUUCUUUUAUUUUUUCACUCUUAAUAUAGUGUUUUUAUGAGAAUUAACCACCACAACAACAAAUUUUUAGUAACAGUUCUUGGUAAAGUCAAGGAGGUAAGUUUCUUUUUUUCUCUCUAAGAGAUGUCUGUAAGAGUUUUUUCAAGAGUACAAGAAGGAAAUAAUAUGAACUUUCAUAUUUAAUGAAAAAUUCAAAAGAGAGUCUCAGUUCAGGAUUUAAUCACAAAAAUUGUGGGCAUGACUGACAUCAAUACACUGUCUAUGUCCACUAAAAGUUAUCAAACGUUGUUGGUUCACUCAAUCAGGAAAAAAUUAGUUAUUCAAUUCACUGAAAAAAUUAACGGCAUCAUUUUGGUGUGGAUAAUGCUUUUUGAAUUUUUUGUGUAGAGAGUGUGAAAAUACAUUGAUUAAAGUUUUCUUUCCUCUACUAAUUGUUACAGAAAUACAAUUUUCAGUCUUUUUUUCUUAGGUUUUCUUCCUACUACAUUUCCAUGUAAUUAAGAAAAUGAUCCAUUUAUUUCUCUCUCCACAAUUAAUGGGUGCGUUCUUCUUUGAGACUCCUUAAUCUUAUGUCCCUGAUAAGCAGCCCUCCAGUUGCGCCACCACGACUUCCAUUCCUGACUGCAGGUUGUAAUUAUGAAGCUCGAAGAGAGAAGUGUCCCUUUUAUUUCUCAUGCUGCAGCUCUGGGGGAUUUUUUCUCUACAAUUAAAAGGCUAGAAAUACAUGAAAAGCAUGAACACAAUUAGCAGAAAAACUACCAUGGAAAAUACAAACAUUCUACACAUAAAAUUCUCCAAAGAAUCCCCAAAAAGCUGCUAUUAGUUGGGCUGCAUAAAACGGAAGAAAACAGGUCAGUAUAGCUUUGGGGGUCAUAUGCAGCCCUUCUUGCAGUAAUCCAAACAUAUUAAGUAUUAUAAUGUAUCUACAGUAAUCUGUGAUUUCAAGCAUCUAAGGAAAGAAAGAAAAGAAAUUGUGGGAAAUUUGAACAUGCUAUAUCAUUUUACAUGGAAGUAAGAAGCUGAAUGGAAAAAGAAUUGAGAAGUGCUGGGAAAAGUCAGAGAACGUGAGGAAAUAGGAAAAAGAACAAGUAAAGGGACUCCACAGUGAUGAAAAGGCAUCGCUCAGUUUUGUUUAUUUAGUUAGUUACACAUUAUCUCAAUUUAUCAAACCAGAGCACUCCCAAUUUUUAAAAACCUGUGUUUGGUAUAAAUCUUAAAAAGCUAUUUUCUUCAAAUGUGAAAUAAUGUUUACACUGUUAGCAUCUUCUGGUUAAAUUUUAUGUGAGCAUAUGUUCUAAUAUGAGCCUAAGAUCACACACUGCCAAAUCCAUAUUGUAUAAAGAAAAUUUCAGAAAUAUAAUCAACUAGCUUGUUAUUCAUUUAUAUUUGCUUACAGGAAGAUAAUAUUGUAACUUGCCAUAGUAUAGGAAACCUGAAUAGUGCAUUAAUAAGAAGGAUUUUAUCACCUACAUAGUACCUACCAUAUCUAGGUAGUAACUAUUUGUUGUAUCAUUUAUGCUCAUAUCUAGAGAACAUGAGAAAAGAGAUUAAAUUUUAAGCACUAUAGGGAAGUUUUCUCAUAACAUGUAUUGUUAGUUGUUUAUAAAAUAAUAGAUAUUUAUUUUAGGUGAUUUAAGGAUUUUUUUUCUCCUGGAAACAGAAUUUUAAACAUGUGGACUUAUUUAAGUUAAUUUAAACCCAAUAAUUGUGCAUUUGACAGAUUUUCAACUGCUUUUUACUAAAAAAAAAACAAAAAACCAGUUUUCUAAGUAAUGAUCACAGUCAAAAAUUCAUCACCGUUUAUAGUAUGAUUUCAUUUUCACAGUAAGCAUAGCAUUUUGUCAAAUUGAAAC
ensembl:lncRNA